AAUCACUCCAUAUGCAACACUCACCUACCUUGUGUUCAUUUCUUUUGCCACCCUUCCUUUCCACUAUAAAACACCCUCUCUUCUUCAUUCUCCAGCAACUUAAAAACUACCCCUCAACUUUUAUGUUUCCAGAUUACACCCUUUUAUUUCCCAAAAACUUGCAAAAAGUUCCAUGCAUUGACUUUUCUUUAGCUUUUUAGUCAUUGAGUUGAGUUUCAGUUUCAAUUUCUAGGCCAAAAACUAAAUGAAGAAAAUUCUGUUGCUUGGACUUCUCGUUUCUCUACUUCUUGCCAUUUCUUUCCUUCAACCAUCAUUCGCGAAUAUGCAAGUGUAUUGUACAAACAAGUGCAAGGGAAGGUGCUUGAAAUCACGAUUUCCGGAUAAAUGCAUUAAAUUUUGCGUGAUAUGUUGCGAAGAUUGCAAGUGCGUGCCUACGAACAUGUAUGAGGACAAGCACGAAUGUCCAUGCUAUAAAGACAAGAAGAACAACAAAGGCAAACCCAAAUGCCCUUAGAUUUGGAUUUCAUUGCUUCCCUAUUAUGUUUUGGUCUUCUUUUAUGUAAUGGGCUUUUAAUUUCUCUUUUGUUAUUGGAAUAAACGGGCACCAUUUUCUAGUUAGAAUCACAAGGUUAUAUUUGUAAUUCCAUAUGGAAUGUGUGGUUGAUUAAUGAACAUGUUAUGGAGGUUCUAAUA